rnacentral:rRNA from 1 species
UACAGAGGUCUCGAGCGUUAGGCGGGAUCACUGGGCUUAAAGCGUGUGUAGGUGGAUGCCUAAGUACCUUGUGAAAUCCCACGGCUUAACCGUGGAACUGCUUGGUAUACUGGGUGUCUUGAGUCACUCAGGGGCGAGCGGAACAAAUGGUGGAGCGGUGAAAUGCGUAGAUAUCAUUUGGAACGCCAAUGGUGAAAACAGCUCGCUGGGGGUGCACUGACACUGAGACACGAAAGCCAGGGGAGCGAACGGG